rnacentral:rRNA from 1 species
AGACCGGCGCACGGGUGCGUAACGCGUAUGCAAUCUACCUUUCACAGAGGGAUAGCCCAGAGAAAUUUGGAUUAAUACCUCAUAGUAUAUAUGAUUGGCAUGAUUUAUCUAUUAAAGUCACAACGGUGAAAGAUGAGCAUGCGUCCCAUUAGCUAGUUGGUAAGGUAACGGCUUACCAAGGCAACGAUGGGUAGGGGUCCUGAGAGGGAGAUCCCCCACACUGGUACUGAGACACGGACCAGACUCCUACGGGAGGCAGCAGUGAGGAAUAUUGGACAAUGGGCGCAAGCCUGAUCCAGCCAUGCCGCGUGCAGGAUGACGGUCCUAUGGAUUGUAAACUGCUUUUAUACGAGAAGAAACACUCCGACGUGUCGGAGCUUGACGGUAUCGUAAGAAUAAGGAUCGGCUAACUCCGUGCCAGCAGCCGCGGUAAUACGGAGGAUCCAAGCGUUAUCCGGAAUCAUUGGGUUUAAAGGGUCCGUAGGCGGUCAGGUAAGUCAGUGGUGAAAGCCCAUCGCUCAACGGUGGAACGGCCAUUGAUACUGUCUGACUUGAAUUAUUAGGAAGUAACUAGAAUAUGUAGUGUAGCGGUGAAAUGCUUAGAGAUUACAUGGAAUACCAAUUGCGAAGGCAGGUUACUACUAAUGGAUUGACGCUGAUGGACG